AGGACGAACGCUGGCGGCGUGCUUAACACAUGCAAGUGGAGCGACGAACCCUUCGGGGGGCAAAGCCGCGAACGGGUGAGUAACACGUGGGUAACCUGCCCCGAUGACUGGGACAACCCGGGGAAACCCGGGCUAAUACCGGAUGUGGUGUUCACACUCAAGUGUGAUUAUCAAAGGUAGCUUCGGCUUCCGCAUCGGGAGGGGCCCGCGGCCCAUUAGCUUGUUGGUGAGGUAACGGCUCACCAAGGCUGCGAUGGGUAGCUGGUCUGAGAGGACGAUCAGCCACACUGGGACUGAGACACGGCCCAGACUCCUACGGGAGGCAGCAGUGGGGAAUCUUGCGCAAUGCGCGAAAGCGUGACGCAGCAACGCCGCGUGAGGAAGACGGCCUCGGGUUGUAACCUCUUCAGUGGGACGAAGGCCGGCCGGUGAGUAGCCGUGUCGGUUGACGGUACCGUUCGAGAAGAAGCGUCCGCUAACUACGUGCCAGCACGCCGC
rnacentral:rRNA from 1 species